rnacentral:rRNA from 1 species
GAUGAACGCUGGCGGUAUGCUUAACACAUGCAAGUCGAACGGACUCUUCGGAGUUAGUGGCGGACGGGUGAGUAACGCGUGAGAAUCUGGCUUUGGGUUCGGGACAACCACUGGAAACGGUGGCUAAUACCGGAUGUGCCGAGAGGUAAAAGAGAAAUUGCCUGAAGAUGAGCUCGCGUCUGAUUAGCUAGUUGGUGAGGUAAAGGCUCACCAAGGCAGCGAUCAGUAGCUGGUCUGAGAGGAUGACCAGCCACACUGGGACUGAGACACGGCCCAGACUCCUACGGGAGGCAGCAGUGGGGAAUUUUCCGCAAUGGGCGAAAGCCUGACGGAGCAAUACCGCGUGAGGGAAGAAGGCUCUUGGGUUGUAAACCUCUUUUCUUAAGGAAGAACAAAAUGACGGUACCUAAGGAAUCAGCAUCGGCUAACUCCGUG